AUUGAACGCUGGCGGCAUGCCUUACACAUGCAAGUCGAACGGCAGCACGGGUGCUUGCACCUGGUGGCGAGUGGCGAACGGGUGGGUAAUACAUCGGAACGUACCUUAUCGUGGGGGAUAACGCAGCGAAAGCUGUGCUAAUACCGCAUACGCCCUGAGGGGGAAAGCGGGGGAUCGCAAGACCUCGCGCGAUUAGAGCGGCCGAUGCCUGAUUAGCUAGUUGGUGGGGUAAAAGCCCACCAAGGCGACGAUCAGUAGCUGGACUGAGAGGACGAUCAGCCACACUGGGACUGAGACACGGCCCAGACUCCGACGGGAGGCUGAAGUGGGGAAUUUUGGAAAAUGGGGGCAACCCUGAUCCAGCAAUGCCGCGUGAGUGAAGAAGGCCUUCGGGUUGUAAAGCUCUUUUGUCAGGGAAGAAACACCGGCUCUAACACAGUCCGGGAAUGACGGUACCUGAAGAAUAAGCACCGGCUAACUACGUGCCAGCCGCCGCCGUAA
rnacentral:rRNA from 1 species